AUGGCGACCGACCUAGAGGCGAUGGGAGGCCGUGGCAAUAACUCGGCCCUGGAAGAUGGUAGCGGCUCGGUGCUCAUCGCGAAGGCAUGGAGGCGAGGCAACGGGAGGCCGGAGGUGCUCCAUGAGGGCAACUCAAGGCAACGGAGGAGAGGCCAUGGCAGGAUCGUCGGAGACGAUCUAGAAGCAGACGACUGCGGUUGUGACCGGCUCGGCGGAAGCGGCUCAUCGCAUAGCAAAGGGCUCAAAGCAGAGACGAGGCAGACCGGCGGCGAUUUAGUAAUAGCGGCAGCUCGUGGUGGCAGCGGGCCCUCUCCUAGAGAUCUGAUGAAGUGCCGAUGGACAAUGAUCAACCAACUGGAUCAACUCUGU
rnacentral:rRNA from 1 species